UACAGAGGGUGCAAACGUUGUUCGGAAUUACUGGGCGUAAAGCGUGUGUAGGCGGCCACGUAAGUCGGAUGUGAAAGCCCCAGGCUCAACCUGGGAAGUGCACUCGAUACUGCGUGGCUUGAGUAUCGGAGAGGUUGGUGGAAUUCUCGGUGUAGAGGUGAAAUUCGUAGAUAUCGUGAGGAACACCGGUGGCGAAGGCGGCCAACUGGACGAAUACUGACGCUGAGGCGCGAAAGCGUGGGGAGCAAACAGG
rnacentral:rRNA from 1 species